rnacentral:rRNA from 1 species
GAUGAACGCUGGCGGCGUGCCUAAUACAUGCAAGUCGAGCGAACAGAUGAGAAGCUUGCUUCUCUGAUGUUAGCGGCGGACGGGUGAGUAACACGUGGGUAACCUACCUAUAAGACUGGGAUAACUCCGGGAAACCGGGGCUAAUACCGGAUAAUAUUUUGAACCGCAUGGUUCAAUGCUGAAAGACGGUUUCGGCUGUCACUUAUAGAUGGACCCGCGCCGUAUUAGCUAGUUGGUAAGGUAACGGCUUACCAAGGCGACGAUACGUAGCCGACCUGAGAGGGUGAUCGGCCACACUGGAACUGAGACACGGUCCAGACUCCUACGGGAGGCAGCAGUAGGGAAUCUUCCGCAAUGGGCGAAAGCCUGACGGAGCAACGCCGCGUGAGUGAUGAAGGUCUUCGGAUCGUAAAACUCUGUUGUUAGGGAAGAACAAAUUUGUUAGUAACUGAACAAGUCUUGACGGUACCUAACCAGAAAGCCACGGCUAACUACGUGCCAGCAGCCGCAGUAA